rnacentral:rRNA from 1 species
GAUGAACGCUGGCGGCGUGCCUAAUACAUGCAAGUCGAGCGAACAGACGAGGAGCUUGCUCCUUUGACGUUAGCGGCGGACGGGUGAGUAACACGUAGGUAACCUACCUAUAAGACUGGGAUAACUUCGGGAAACCGGAGCUAAUACCGGAUAAUAUUUCGAACCGCAUGGUUCGAUAGUGAAAGAUGGCUUUGCUAUCACUUAUAGAUGGACCUGCGCCGUAUUAGCUAGUUGGUAAGGUAACGGCUUACCAAGGCAACGAUACGUAGCCGACCUGAGAGGGUGAUCGGCCACACUGGAACUGAGACACGGUCCAGACUCCUACGGGAGGCAGCAGCAGGGAAUCUUCCGCAAUGGGCGAAAGCCUGACGGAGCAACGCCGCGUGAGUGAUGAAGGUCUUCGGAUCGUAAAACUCUGUUAUUAGGGAAGAACAAACGUGUAAGUAACUGUGCACGUCUUGACGGUACCUAAUCAGAAAGCCACGGCUAACUACGUG